rnacentral:rRNA from 1 species
CGGAGGGUGCAAACGUUGCUCGGAAUCAUUGGGCGUAAAGCGCACGUAGGCGGCGAAGCAAGUUGGGUGUGAAAGCCCUGGGCUCAACCCAGGAAGUGCAUUCAAAACUGCUUCGCUUGAAUCUCGGAGGGGGUCAGAGAAUUCCCGGUGUAGAGGUGAAAUUCGUAGAUAUCGGGAGGAAUACCAGUGGCGAAGGCGCUGACCUGGACGAAGAUUGACGCUGAGGUGCGAAAGCGCGGGGGAGCAAACAGGAUU